GAUCAAACAAUAGACGUUAGAGUUUGCGAAUAACUACUGAAUCGGAAUACUAGUCAAUUCUAGGAUCCAUAUUCACUGCGACGUAAGCUC
rfam:Lactobacillus hominis DSM 23910 = CRBIP 24.179, type strain:CRBIP 24.179, WGS project CAKE01000000 data, contig: 1